CGCCAUAUUGUAUUCUCGGGAUCACGCCCCCUUCUUCGGCGGCCGAUUUCGGCUGCUUCGGCGCCGAACAUUUGGGUUUCACGCGCAUCAAAAAAUCGGCCAAAAAGUCUAGUUUUUUUAAUACCAAAAUCUCGGCACCCAAAAUCGAAGGAAACAACCCUAUGUGAGGCGUGUGCGACAACAGAGGAGUAGUGAAGUGUUUUGACCCUACGGCCAACAGGGUUUCGGUUACCUGUGCACCUGUACCUGAACGUAAUGGUUCCCCACCUGCGGAUGAUCGACCUUUGAGACCUGGAGCAGCGGCUAGUGGGUGCAAGAGCACGCUCGCUGCAGUGUGAUCGACGUCCUGUCGGCAUGGCUGACCGGACACACGAGUCCUUUGAUCCCUUAUCUUGGCCGCCGUGGCGUGGCAUCCGAAGGGCAGCUACUUGGUGUCCGCGGCCGCCAGCGAGCUGUACCUGGUGCGGUCUGAGGCUGAACAUUGGUGGUUGCUGCCAACGACAGCGACCGAGCAUCGAGCAUCUGCUGUUGUGGUCGCCGAGCAGCCGACGCCUGCUGGCCGCAUCCUCUCCUUCUUCCACUUGUGGAACGUGACCACCUGGACGGCCGAGCGGUGGACAGUUGCGCGAGGCUCCUCGAUGGCAGCCGCCUUCAGCCCCGACUGCUGCCUGAUGCUGUUUUUGGCGAUGAGGCCGCGCGGCCUUUACCGUCUAGUUACGGAAGGAGACACAUGCUUUUCUUGUCGAGCGAACCCGUGUGACCACCUUGGCCUGUGUCGGGACCGUCCUAGCCGCUUUUCUGCACGGCGCAGUGCUGCGGUUCAUGUUCACAGAACCAGAACUGAUACCUUAUUUUUGCUUGGUAAUUAACGGCAAGGAUGGCUAAAGUAUACAUAGCAUCAUCUAUCAGCUUCUUCCCAGGCGCCAAGGGCGCCUCCUUGUUGGUGAUCAUUUGGUCUUCACGCAUCCCCUUUCACCGUAGAAGAAGUCUUCAGCAAAGCCAACAGAUUCUGAGAGAGACAGAUAUGUGAUUUUUUACAUGCCAUGUCAUCAUUCUCACUAAAAGAAAGAUUCAUUGUGAAACUUUA